rnacentral:lncRNA from 1 species
CGAAACCUAACCUUUCAUGCUACGAUUUGAGUUAUGGCCUUAUGGGGUCAUUGAAAUGCUUAAACAUUAACUUUGUGACAAUAUAUGCAUGGUUCUUGAUUAAUUACGUAGUUUUCACAUUACCUUUCAUGUUAGAUUUUGAUUUUUUUUAUUGAAUUUAAGAAAGUUCUACGAAUCACAUUAAACUCUUUGAAAAUAUUCAAUAUCUAAAAUUCUAACUGAUUGGCAAGAGAGAACAUGAAAAUUGUGAUUUCCUUAUACUUGACAAAAAUCGAGUUCCCAUUUGUUUUCUGCAAUCAAGUUUUGCCAAACCUCAAACAAAAGUUUCUUAUACCUAACAUAUAUGAUACAUGCAUGAUGCAUAAGUAGUACAUAUAUAAAGAUCAGAGUAGUGUACCUUUGUCAUCUCCUUGCAAAGGACGUUGAGCCGUAUGAGGCUCAGAGAAGUGAAGAACAAGAACAACGAAAAGGAAGACCAUAAUCCCAAGUUUCUUUUCCAUUUUUUUCUUCUAAUAAGUUUCAAGAGACUUUUUGUGUGGAACACAAACAUAAACAAGAAGAAGAAGAAGAAGAAGUCAAAAGAUUAUUAUAUAUGAGUAAUUGAGUACAGAUCUCUCACUCUCACAUGGUCGGUUUCAUUUACGUUUAUACCCAUCUUUUUUUUGUAACUUCAUCAACCAGACAAAACAACUAGGCGACAACUACUUAUUACACGCAUUUCCAUAAGAG